UAAGAGUUAGUUCAACUAGAACCCCUGAUUUCGGCUCAGAAAGCCUUGGUUUGACCCCAAGACUCUUGA
rnacentral:tRNA from 2 species